rnacentral:rRNA from 1 species
UACGUAGGGGGCGAGCGUUGUCCGGAUUUAUUGGGCGUAAAGGGCGUGCAGGCGGCCUGUUACGUUUGCAGUGACAAUUCCCGGCUUAACUGGGGAGGGAGUGCAAACACGGGCAGGCUUGAGGACCAGAGAGGGACAUCGAAUUCCGGGUGGAGUGGUGAAAUGCGUAGAGAUCCGGAGGAAGACCAAAGGCGAAGGCAGUGUCCUGGCUGGUACCUGACGCUGAGGCGCGAAAGCUAGGGGAGCGAACAGG